UACGUAGGGACCAAGCGUUGUUCGGAUUUACUGGGCGUAAAGGGCGCGUAGGCGGCGUGACAAGUCACUUGUGAAAUCUCUGAGCUUAACUCAGAACGGCCAAGUGAAACUGUUGUGCUAGAGUGCAGAAGGGGCAAUCGGAAUUCUUGGUGUAGCGGUGAAAUGCGUAGAUAUCAAGAGGAACACCUGAGGUGAAGACGGGUUGCUGGGCUGACACUGACGCUGAGGCGCGAAAGCUAGGGGAGCGAACGGG
rnacentral:rRNA from 1 species